UACGUAGGGGGCAAGCGUUGUCCGGAAUCAUUGGGCGUAAAGCGCGUGUAGGCGGCUUUGCAAGUCGGGUGUGAAAGCCCUCAGCUCAACUGAGGAAGUGCGCCCGAAACUGCAUGGCUUGAAUACCGGAGAGGAUGGCGGAAUUCCCCAAGUAGAGGUGAAAUUCGUAGAUAUGGGGAGGGACACCGGUGGCGAAGGCGGCCAUCUGGACGGCUAUUGACGCUGAGACGCGAAAGCAUGGGGAGCAAACAGG
rnacentral:rRNA from 1 species